AGUGGUCGUGCCCUCAAUCCACGUGGCAAGUGGGGCCGCCUCACGUGCCACCUCACGUGCUGCUUCUUUAACGUUUGGACUUCCUUUCUUAAUCUCGCGACACGUGGCCCCAUCAACGGCCAGCGCUGUGCGUCGCUAGCGCUUCUUUCAUUCAAAUUGGCGCGCCCUUCCACUGUUCCUUCAUCUUCUUCAUUUGACUCCCAGACUCUCUGCGAACCUCUCUUCUGCGCACCCGUCUUUCUUCAAAUUCUCUGUGAUCCUAAACUCUUACGAUCAUUCAAAGGUAUGGUUUUUCUUUUCCCUGGCCCCUUUUUGGUCAUCUUUACCGAUUGCAUUUAUCAUUCUAGUUAUCAUGCAUCCAUCUUCCCUGUUUUUCUUCUUCUCAACCCGCGCUAGGGUUUUUCUCAUGUUUCCGCUUUGACUUCUGCCUCCCCUUCUUUCUCCUUUACCUGGGCAUUUCUUCCUCAUUCCCUCUCUCUGUUUUUCACCGAACCAUCCAUCACUCUCUCCCUUUCUAUUUCUGACCCCUCGUUUUCCUCCAUUGCAGCUAUCUCUCGAUGGCUCGCUUGAAGCAGACCGC
rnacentral:lncRNA from 1 species